CCCGCUUCCUCUUGCGACUCCAGGUCGACGCAAAUAAAGCCAAGACGCAAUUUCUGCGGUAAACAACUGAGCCGCCAAACUUAGAACUUGGCAAUUUGCACAUUUUAAAGAAAAUAUAAUAAUACAUAUUUGUAUGUAGUAUAUUCGACAACUCGGAAGCAGUGCCGUCAUGACUAAUCCACGUACGAGUGCUAUGCUGGGUUCUUGGUCAGCUUUCAAAGUUCCCAAAAAUUUGAACGCCUCUCCACCGGAUAUUCGAGUGCUGAAUCAAUGCUAAGCAGACUCGCCUCAACUUGUUUCAAAUUCGAAUGCAAGUGAAUUUGCCUUCGACAAACCGAAAGUGAAAAAUUUAAUUUCAAAAGCAAAGCAUUUGAUUCGGGGUACGGGGCCAAUGCCUCUUGCCAAUGUACGAAGAGAAAACAAGUGAUAUUGGCCUUGAAUUCGCUAUAUAGCAUAUAGACGAAUACGAUUGUGAAACACCUCCCUAGGAAAGAUUACUUCUACUCUGUUCAACAAUUUACGCAGAAUCCGGUUGCUAUAAUAACUUCGCAUUUGCAUGAAAACGUACCGGAUAUCCGCUUUGUCGGCCAGCAAGGAACUGGAGAUAAUGGCACCGACCAGAGGCAAUAAAACCGGCGGACUCUCCACUCCGAGAUUGCCAUAUUGUGCGGCACGGCACGUGUUUGGGCCACGCACUUGGCCAAAUUGCUUUAUGGCCACUAGACAGCGGGCACAGGCCCGGCGGCGUAUUUACGAGAUAUUCGGGGGACAUAUCCCAUUAUAAUGGGCGGGAAAUGCGAAGUGGGAAAUGAGAAAUGGGCGGAACAACCCGGGCGUAUGAGUAAUGCGUGUGUGCACAGCAUUUUGGCCCAAGGGCGCAGUGUGAUUUUUGGCAAGCCAAGAAGCGAAUGCGAAAUUAAAUAGCCAAGAAGGCACGAAAAGACAAAAGGGGGGAAAAGGCGUCGAAAGACGUGGGAAAGACCAUGCUGGUGUCAUUAUUAGCCGCUUUUGCCAAAAUGAAGGGAGGAAGGCGAAGAUACAUAUAUGCAAAAGACGGGUGCGUGCCAACAAAAGAAUGUGUUGCAUACUUUCCAGCGCGACGCCUUGGAAUUUCGCGAAAAAUAAACGCUGCUGCACAAACAAAAGUGAUAAGUCUGCCACAUUAGCGACGUCAACUUGUCUGCAAUGUCGCUCGCAGCACGAUAAUUAAAUUAUGUGCCACAAAACAAAAAAAUGCAUAUGGCGAUUUGCACGCUUAAGCCGCUAUUAUUCCAAAAUUAGAUACUUAAUUGCAAGCGAAAUCAAGAUUAUCGUAAAUUAAUGGCUGUUUUGUGCAGCUAAUGUUUUAAACUAUCCUUAUUUAAAUAAUACUCUAAAUUUUCAAAAAUACAUUUUUUACAUUGACACGAGAAGUGAGUCAUGCGAAAAAAGCUGACUAACUAAAAAUAAACCUGGUGGGUUAAUAAUAAAAGAUGGCAAGCCCCAUUCUAUCAUUCCAAAGAGCCCCUCCAUAAUUGAUACAACUAAAUUUAGCGGCGUAAACAAAGGCUGUGAGAAAAAACACCGAAGGAACGGAAAGGGGAGCGCUGAUGGAAAAGUUAUUCGCAGGCAAUUUCCGUGAAAUGUUGUAAACAAAUAAGCGAAGAGCGGGCUUCCUGUCGCGGCAGACAGAAAAUCCGAGAGCAAUCAAUCGAUAGUUAUGUUUUGUUUUCAGCAUCCAUAGUUCGCUUCUGCACACUUUUCCCAAUGUUUUCGAUAGGGUUUUCAUGUCUCGUGCACUUGUCGCACAAUAAAAAGCGGAAGAACAAAAGCGAAAACCUUUUUCGAAUCGUUAGGCAGUAAAAAAGUUGAUAGAAAUAAAAUUAAGCCUGGCUCGAUGUUUAUUUUUUUUUGCGCAGAUGAAGAGACGGGGGGCAGGGCAGACAGGGGGGCCUUUUAGUUGGUGCGUCAAUAAAGUUGAGCGAAAAUAUUUGCACAGCGUUCAACCGACGAACAAACGAGGCGCUUUCCUUUUGUUCUUCGCUGUUUUAUGGCCCAUAAACAAAGGCCCAAUUUGAAUGUUUGGCGAUUGAAGCCCAGAGAGCUGGAAGAAACUGGCCAACAGCUGGUCUGGAGACCCCAUUAAAGAUGGCCAUAUACGCAGAACCAGUUGCUCGCCACUUUUUCACGACAGAGACGAAACGUUCUAACGGCACGAAAAGGCUAAAAUUAUGGUCACAAAUCAUGAGGUAAGACGAUUCAUAAUACCCAUAACUGUACGGUAUUACGUACAAAAUAUGAUUUUUGGGGGCUUAAAUGCAAAAUGAGGACAUUACUUUAAUUUUAACGUCACAUUUACACAUUUAAAAUCAGAAGAAAAAGGGCAUGAUAUCAUGUUUAAAUGUAAUUUAAUGCCUUUCCUAUAUUCAUGUGGUCUUUUCCGGUUUCUGGCAAGGUGUUUCCAUCCGCUUUUGGCCAAAAAAUUAAAACACAUAAACAGAGAGACUGCUGAGACUGCCGAGCUGAAGAUCUCCAAUUUCGUCUGAGCCUCUCUUGUUUACGCUAAAAUCGGCCCAAAAACAAAGGAGGGGCAAGUGCAGGAGGCGAGUUGGUAAACCAGUUUUCCACCGCACUCGACCAGAACGGACGCCGUCGGAAAAGGAAACGGAGAAGGAGGAGUGAGUGGCAGGGCCAUCAACAGGUAACCCAGUGCACCUACAGGCCACGCAGCACCAUCCAGAAGUAACCAGCGCCAUCAUAUUGUACCAUUGUCCAUCCUAUCAGCAUCAACGUAUCACCAAAGUCAAUGUGUUUCCGUCAGCUGCCGUUGGCCUCAGCUCAGAAAGGCAGAAAGCCAGAAAGACAGAAAGGAGCUGCCAUUGUUGAUAGCGCUGCAGUUCUGGUUCGCUGUUGUUUUGAUCGGGCUGAAUUUUGGGCUCUGCAAACGGGUUUGCGAGUGCACUCAUUCAGCCCAGCCAACCCCCUCUGCCACCUAUUACCAAUUUACUCAGGCCUCUUGGUUGUUGUUAUACCCUUUCAGGUAAUUCGGAGAUUUUAACUUGGCUAAGAUGGCUUAAAAGUCAUCAAGGAUAAUCCUUCAAUCCCGAAAUUGGUAUUGCUACCACCUUUUAUUAUUCUUGCAAAUCUUUUUUAUUGAGAAAUGUGAAACAGAAUCUACAUGGUAAAGAACGAUUGUGAAAAACACCCUGAAUGAACUAGGCCAUCCUGCACAAUAUCCUUGCGACGAUCAAAUAUUUAUGGUAUAAUGGGAUAAUAUGUUAAUGUUACACUGCACAAAGUCACCCUAAAGAGAGUAUCCCAAGCUUCAGUGGCCGUUGGAAAGCAGCCUUUGUGCUGGUCUCAUUGUUUUGGCUCUGGUUUUGGCAAAGGGCAGGGAGCCGAGGAAGUGGUUUUUCCUGCCGUACCUGUACGAGUUUCCCUGUCUCGGCCUCUCUGUGCCCAUCUCUUUCGCAGGACAAAGAAAAUGCAUGAGGAGAAUGCAGAGUGUGUGGAACUUGUUCCUGAUCCCAGAGGGGUUGCAAGGAGCAGUAAAUGGGAAUCUGAGCGUUUCCAGGAAUAACAAAACGAUAAUCGAUGGUAUUGCAGCGAGGAAUGCACGUAAUUAAAGGGAAGUGUAUAGAUUGUUCUGGGGCAGAUUAAUUAUGCCGAGAUUCUCCGUUCUCGGCCGCUACUCCAUCCCGUCCCUAUCCCUCUCUCUGCCUACUUAUCUCCUUCGCCUCCUUUGUUCCUCGGUCACGUCCAUGUAAUUGCCAAUAAUCACAAUAUGCGCUUCGGUAGGAAAAUUCAAUUUACAUGCCGCCAGUGGAGCGAAAAAACGAGAGAGGCGCAGAAUUGAAUUACAGGAUGACCCCGGUGAGAACGCUUAUGAAAUAUGCCAAAGGUGACUUUCAAUUAAAUGCCACCCAGCCAGAGGCGUGCGAAGGAUUUAAAAAGGGGCUGAUAAAUAACGUACUAACCGAUUAAAAUAAGUUUGCUGAUCAAUGAGUUAAGAUACCAUUUUUAAGAUUACAAUCAUAGAAUAACAAAGUAUGUAAGCAACUUGUUUUAUGGGGGGUCAUUUCACCCCGCCAACCCCUCUCCUAUACGCUCCUGCCACCAGCUGUGGUUCUGUUCUUACAUUCCCUGUCUUUGCUUGUUUUUGAUUGCCUUUGCUUUUCUGGCUUUGUUUUUGCUUACCUGCCGGGAAGAAAUUGUUCAAGAACGUUGACAUUUUUCUCUUUCGCUCCCGCCUUCGCCAAUUCCUCUUGCGCUCUCUUUCUUUUCGUGGUCCUUCUCGUUUCGUUACGCUUUGUUUUUGUGUUUGUUUUCGUUUUAAUGUGCACUGAGUUAAAAACUUUUUCUUGGUUUUUUCGUUUUAUUUUCGAUUUUUUUUUUAGUUCUUUUUAAUUAUUUUGUAGAAAAUAUUGAAACAAAAAUUUAAAUUAUACAUACAAUCCGUGCUUAACUGCUAAGUUUCACAUAACACAUUUUCACAUCGUACGUUUCGAAAAUAUUUUUUCUUUCAGUUUUUCACGUAAGUUUCUUGCAGUUGAAAUGCAUUUUCGGGCAAAUGAUUAACAAUUGAGGCGCGUCGACUGUAAAAUGCGAGAAAGAGAAGAACAUUCGAUUAAAAUAAGUAACGGUAAAAAAACAGUUGUUGUUUGUUUUUGCAAAACGGGGCGACAAAAUGAAAUCCCGAAACGCAACAGUGAGUGGGAGUGAGAGGGCGGUAUAGCUUGGAUUUCAUUAAAUUUUCCAAAGUGAGUCUGUGUGGGUGUACGGGGACGCUUUUUCCUGCACAUAUACAGACACAAUUGCGCGCAUAUUUGCUUACAUUUUCCACACUUUUUUCCACUUCGCACUUGGUUACUCAUAUUUUUAGAGUUUUAUAUUUAACACCAUCCAAAACACAUACACACUGAACCUAAGCCAACAUAUUGUGUAGCUCAUUGCCUGUUUCAUUGUUAGCUUUCGAAUUGUUUUCUGUCGCGUAAUUACUUUAAUGAGGAUAUUUCCUUGAAAGGAGCUGCUGUUGCUAUAUUGUAUAUAUUUUCAUUACCAUUUCCCAACGAUUUUGCAAAUAAGAAAAACGCAACACACACACCGCGCGAUUGGCGCUGCACGAAUGAAGAAAACGCAAAGAAGAUCCAACAGCCAAGCCAAAUGGAGUCCACAAACGACCCCCGAGUGUUGUAUACAUGUACGUCCGUGUGUGAGUGUGUGCACAGGAGCUCGGAUAAAAACAACAACUGCCAGCUGUGUGUGCAACACAGUGGAUGUGGAUGCCAUUCGAGGAGUGUUGGAAAAACAUCCGCGCUCAAUGGGUUACAUGGACUUUAACGCCUGAUUAAUGCUGGAUAUGACAGGCUACUGAAGUUCCAUUAUCGAAUAGAAUGUUAUUAAAUAACUUUUAAACAUGGCGAAACCCCUUUAGAGCAUUGUAACACUUCAACUUCAAGUGGCCAGGAUGUUUUGCAGAAACCCUAGCAAUUGGCGUUGUUAUACACACAUGCAUAUAUACACAAAAUAAAUACAUAUACAUUCACACAUGUAUGUAUGUUUUGGGCUGCGGGGAGUUCAACAGGACCCAACAGCUGGCCACAGGUUGCGUUCCACAUAGAGAAAUGUGGGAGCCUGGGCUCCAAGCGCGAUCCACACUCCAGCCAUAUUUGUGGAACGCGACAAACAGCUGGCUAGGAAAAGGGGAAGAGGACGCAGAGGGGAAGGGAACGAAAAAAAAAGGGGAAGAGGAAAAGCAGGAGCAAAGGAAAUAAGAACACAUAUGUAUACGAUUUGUUUGUUGAGUGGGAACAGCUGGAAAUAAUUAACUAAGUUCACUCAGAAAGCCAACUUAUUUAUAAGUGUAACUUUUUUAAAACGUGGUUGAAUAUAUUUCUAUUAUAAUUUUUUUUUUAAAUUAUGAUAAUAUUUGCACGUGGAAUUAAAAGUCAAUUCAUUAAGUUUUUAUUUUCAAUAACGAUGUUAAUCCACCACCGAAACUGAAAUUGA